UUUCGCUAUUUCCAUGGCAAAUCAAAUGACUAUGAUUUCGUAGCGCUGCAUCACGGCUCGAUUGCGUUGCAUGUUUCGGCGAAUGGGUGGUGGCCAGGUGGAGUGCCCUCUAGUCAGUUUUGCCAUGUGGAGGCUAUCCUAUGUUUGGUAAUAUCUCUUCAGCUGUACAGCUGCGCGUGAGAGGAAUCAGAUUUCAUUGACAUGGCAGAAGGCAAGCGCCGUCUGAAAACCUUGCAGAUGUUACAAACCCUUGUGAAUUCAUGCCGCAAAUCAUCUACUGAAGCAUCCACUAUGCGGAAAAUGAGUCUACUUUGGUGCUA